GUGGGGAAUCUUGCGCAAUGGGCGAAAGCCUGACGCAGCCAUGCCGCGUGAAUGAUGAAGGUCUUAGGAUUGUAAAAUUCUUUCACCGGGGACGAUAAUGACGGUACCCGGAGAAGAAGCUCCGGCUAACUUCGUGCCAGCAGCCGCGGUAAUACGAAGGGGGCUAGCGUUGCUCGGAAUUACUGGGCGUAAAGGGCGCGUAGGCGGACAGCUUAGUCAGAGGUGAAAGCCCAGGGCUCAACCUUGGAAUUGCCUUUGAUACUGGCUGUCUUGAGUUUGGGAGAGGUGAGUGGAACUCCUAGUGUAGAGGUGAAAUUCGUAGAUAUUCGGAAGAACACCAGUGGCGAAGGCGACUCACUGGCCCAAUACUGACGCUGAGGCGCGAAAGCGUGGGGAGCAAACAGGAUUAGAAACCCUAGUGUCC
rnacentral:rRNA from 1 species